rnacentral:rRNA from 1 species
CGUCAGCUCGUGUCGUGAGAUGUUGGGUUAAGUCCCGCAACGAGCGCAACCCUCGUCCCUAUGUUCGCCAUCACUAGGUGGGCACUCUUAGGGAGACUGCCGGUGUAAACUACGGAGGAAGGUGGGAUGACGUCAAGUCAUCAUGCCCUUUAUGUCUUGGGCUGCACACGUGCUACAAUGGUCGGUACAAAGAGGUGCGAUACCGUGAGGUGGAGCGAAUCUCACAAAGCCGAUCUAAGUCCGGAUUGAAGGCUGCAACUCGCCUUCAUGAAGUCGGAGUCGCUAGUAAUCGUGGAUCAGAAUGCCACGGUGAAUACGUUCCCGGGCCUU